rnacentral:SRP_RNA from 1 species
GCUGGGCCCGAUGGCAUGUGCCUGUAGUCCCAGCUACUCCGGAGUCUGAGGCCAGAGAUCUCUUGAGUCCAGGAGUUCUGGGCUGUAGUGCGCUAUGCUGAUCAGGUGUCUGCACUAAGUUCGGCAUCAGUAUGGUGACCACCUGGGAGUGGGGGACCACCAGGUUGCCUAAGGAGGGGUGAACCAGCCCAGGUCGGAAACGGAGCAGGUCAAAACUCCCGUGCUGAUCAGUAGUGGGAUCGCGCCUGUGAAUAGCCACUGCACUCCAGCCUGGGCAACAUAGUGAGACCCCAUCUCU